AGAGAAAUGGCAUUUCUAACAAGCUCAUGGGUACUGUUGUUGAUCCUGCAGUUCUGAAGACAACACUUUCAGAUGCUUCCUUUGCUCAGCUGUUUGUGACUCACCUUUACCUUUCAUGUGUGAGGCUGUCACUGUUAAUAUCCUAGCCAUCCAACAGCCAUCUUCCUCUCUUCCUUAGUAACAGAUGCGAAUUGUAUCUAGGGACUUGCCCAGGCCUCUUGCUUCAGGAAAGCCUGCCUUUAAUUCCAGCCCCAGAAUGAGAAUGUUAAUAAGUUUUAGACCAUUAAUUUAAUAAAUCAAAAUGCACAGUAGUCCCAUUCCCCUGUGAAUGACUUAGUCCAAGAUGUGAAUAAAAUCGACUAGGGGGUUUUCUGGGAAAGAUUUUUUUUUUUUCUCUCAAGAAGAUGCAUCUGGAAGAGAUGACCCCUUCUUCUGGAUAUGGAAUGAUAGGCACGAUGGUAAAAGUGCUACAUUUAGAUCUGGACCAUCAAGGAAACUUGAGGAAGUAGAACAGGAAAAAGAAAAACAAUUAGGUUCCUAAAAUAAUGAUGAAUCAUCAAAUUAACCAACCUGGAACUACCCUGCCCCAAGCCUUCCUAUUAGGUGGGACUUCUGUGUCUUGCAGCUGAAUGCAUACUAAUUGAUAUGAUCUAUCUCUCUAGCCAUUUAUCCAUCAUCUAUUUAUCUAUUUUUAACUUGUCUUUAUAGAUUAUAUUUGCUUAAUAAAUGUACAAUGAUUGGGAAAAAGAGUCACAGCACUGUUGGAAUUCAGCUCUGUUUCUUGGGAAGGUUAACUGACCCCUCAUCAUUAUCAUACCAAGAAGUAAUCAUAUUUUCUUCAUCAUGCAGAGAUUUGAAAGGAAUGGAAUAUAGGAAAAUUAAGUCUGAUGGGGUGUGCAAUAGAAAGGCAAAAUUUCAGAAACUCCUCAAGAGGACAGGCCUGAAAAAAGGCACCAGAAUGGAUGCCCUGGAUUCCUGUUCCACAGCGGGAAGGAAACGAAAGCUUCUUUUGCAAAAUAUCUCUGGUGGCUGUGGCUGUGGUGUUGGCUGGCAGCUACGGCUCUGCUAGCCUGGGAACGUCCAUAUGCCAUGGCUGUGGCCAUAAAAAAAAUUACAAUAUCCUUUCUGGUAUCCCUUCAUAUACUCACACUUUAGUAAUUCAUUCUCCACCAUGCAUUCAGUGUGAUUAAAAAAAAAAAUCUACUGGGAACCAUAUCUCAUCACUGAUGAUGGAGCAUGACGGAGGAUAAUGUGAGAAAAAGAAUGUAUAUAUGUAUGUGCGACUGGGUCUCUUUGCUGUACUGCAGAAAACUGACAGAACACUGUAAACCAGCUAUAAUGGAAGAAAUAAAAAUAAUUUUUUAAAAAUCUGAUUCUUCCAUUCUCACUAAGUCCCCUUAAAAACUUCUCAUUUUUUUUCAUUCUUUUAAAUUGUACUGUGGUAAGAACAUUUGAGAGCUACCCUCUUACAGGUUUUUAAGUGUCUGAUACAGUCCUACUAGCUAUAGGCACAAUGCUAUGCAGCAGAUAGCUAGGAUUUAUUCAUCUUGCAUAACUGAAGCUUUGUGCCUAUUGAACAACUUCCUAUUUCCUCCUCUCUCCACCCCUGGCAACCACCAUUCUGCUCUCUACUCCUGUGUGUUUGACUGUCCCAGUUACUUCAUGUAAGUGGAAUCGUACAGUUUACCUGCUUAUGCCACUUAGCGUGAUGUCAUCAAGGUUUGUCCAUGUUGCCAUAUGUUACAACACUUCCUUCUUUUAUAUGGCUAAGUAAUAUUCCAUUGUAUGCAUAUAUCACAUCUCUUUUAUUCAUUCAUCUGUCAAUGGACAUUUAAGUUGUUUUAACAUCUUGGCACUUGUAAAUAAUGCUGCAAUGAAAAUAACAGUGCUAACAUCUCCUGAUUUCAAUUCUUUUGGAUAAACACCUAGAGGUAGGGUUGUUGGGUCUUAUGGUAAUUCUGUUUUUAAUUCUGAGGAACCUCCAUACUGUUUUCCAUAGUGGCCCUACUAUUUUGCAUUCCCACCAGCAGAAUAUGAGGCUUCCAAUUUCUCCAUAUCUUUGCCACACUUGCUGCUGUUGGUUUUUUUCAUAAUAACCAUCCUAACAGGUGUGAAAUGACAUCUCACUGGGGUAUUGAUUUGCAUUUCCGUGAUGAUCAGUGACAAUCAGCAGCCCUUCAUAGACCUGUUGGCUAUGUGUUUGGCUUCACUGGGAAAAUGUCUCUUCCAGUCUAUUUUUUAAUUGGGUUACUCAUUUUUUUUUUUUUAAACUAUUGAGUUGUAGAAGUUCCUUCUAAUUUUGGAAUUAACCCUUUAUCAGAUAGGUGAUUUGCAGUUGCUUUCUCUGAUCUGUGUGUUGUAAAGGCUUCCCAUUUUUUUUUUUUUUUUUUGCAGAUAAACAUUUCAAAUCCCACCUAUCUCUCCGCCUUAUCUGGCGCCACCCUUCAUCACUUGUUCUUUUUGUUCUUGCCCCAAAGGCCUGCUUUCAGUUCUAUAUCCCUGUGUGUGCUUCCUGCCUCGCAAAGCUUUGCAUUCAGUGCCACAUCUUUCUAAAAAGCAUCUCCCACAGCUUUGCCACUUUCAUCUUUCAUAAUUCACCUUAAAUGUCAUUCCCAUAGAGAACAUUUUUUGAGACUAGACUAAAUCUCCUUCUAUUCUUAUAUAUUCUUUUAAUAUCACAAUUCUCUUCUGUGUACUUAUCACAGUUGUAAUUGUAUAAUCAAAUGCACAAUUAAUUAUUCAAUGUCUGUCUCCUAAAUUACCAUGUGAGCCCUUGAGGGCAAAAGCACAUCUGGUGACUACCAUAUCCCUGGUAGCAGACACUAAACAUGGGUUGAACAAUCUCUUUUUUCCUUCAGGCACUUUUUUUUUUUUUUUUUUUUUUUGCUUUUUAGGGCUGAACUUGCGUCAUGGAAGUUCCCAGCCUAGGGGUUGAAUUGGAGCUACAGCUGCUGGCCUACGCCAUGGCCACAGCCACAGCAGCUCAGGAUCCAGCCUUGUCUGUAACCUACACCACAGCUCAUGGCAACACCAGAUCCCCGACUCAUAGCACAAGGCCAGGGAUCAAACCCACAUCCUCAUGGAUACUAGGCAGAUUCAUUUUCACUAUGCCACAACGGGAACUCCCCUUCAGGCACCUUUUCUAGUGACUGCAAGUAUUUCCAGCCACUCUUCAUUCAUCAAACUGUCCAUAAAUACUUGUCCACUUGGUUUUGCACAUGACCUUUCCCGUCGCCUUAGUCAAGUGGGCAAGAAUGGCAAUCUUUUUCCUGCUUCACAGAUGAGAGAAUGAGUCCCAGAGACAUUUAAUCACUUGCCCAUAUUCAUUCAUGUUAGCAUGUGUGAAGUCUGAGAGCCUGACGACUGUUCCCUGGCUUCUCUUUGGACGAGUCACCUUCAGCACAGCAUUACUCAGCUUGCUGAGAAGGAGAACACUCAUGCUGAAGCCGACUACCACGUUCUCCCUCCCUCUGCUCCCGAAUUCUAUGCAGCUUACCCUUGCCUGAGUCACUCACGGAAAGCAUAUGAGAACACAUUGGGUCAAAUCCACCAGCCCACCCAGGAAUGUCCUUCCAUCCCAAGCACAAAGAAAAGGGUCAGUGGAGUAUUCUAGGAACAGCUCUGAUGGGGAAGCAAGAAUUCAAGGCAGAGCAUGUCUCCCCAGUCACCCGCCCACUACUUGCCUGUCCACUACCUGGCAUGUGCUAAAGUAUAAAGACCUGGGAAAUCUUGGUGGUGAAUCAGAGAUUUUCAGUUCCUCUUGGGAAGCAGUAAUUCAACAGACGCAUGAAGGCAGUCAUGGAACUUAGGAUCCCUGCUGUGGCCUGGACCCUCUGGAAGUAAACACGUGGGCAACUUAAAGCUCCCGCAUUCUGUGCCGUGCCCAUGGAGGAAAUCUGCCCAGUCACUGGGAGUAUCUGCUUAAGAGAUAAAANCGGCUUCUGAGAAAUUCCUACAGGGCUGUGGACUCUCUUCCUCCAGCUUCGAACCCUCCUCUGAAGGAGCUCAGGAGCAAGAUCUUCAACACAGGGCACUAUUGGCUGCUUAAAGUUUACCUGCUUUGGUCAAUUGCUUAAUAAGUGAUUCCCACUCUGAAUGAUGGAUACCAUCCCCUGAGGAGGUGGUAAAGCACAGAUGAGGUGCUGCUGACAAUUUGCGUUACACACAAACUGCUCAGUUCUGUAGAAUAAAUAAGUAAAUACAUAAAUACAUAAACAAAGUUUGCCUGCUUUUGUCUUCAUACGAGGAGGCAAGGUAGCCCUGAAUGAGGAAGUACUUAAGAGGGAUAAAGGCCCAGUUUAGAGGCUGUUGGAAGUUUGGAAAAUCUGUAUGACAGUUUGGGCAUCAAAGCUAUACGCCUCUCUUUAUCAAUAAAUAAUUGAUGAAGUUCUGAGUUCACCUUGUGAUAGGAGCAGCCAAGAAGUGCACAAGAAGGGUGAGGGAGUUGGAAGGCAGAGUAGAAAGAAACAAGCCCUAGAGUCGGAAGAAUGACUAUGGUUUCAGAUCUUCUAUUUACUGAAUUAACCUCCUUGGGGCCUGUAUUUUAUUUGUAAAGCACUAAUAGCCUUAGGAAUUUUACAAGGUUAUUAUAAACACUGGGGAAGACAUAUAUUGGGUGGGGGAGAAAACUAGCUUAAGCAGCAUUUUCUUAACUCUUUCAUUUAGUUUUCGUGGGGUUUUUUGUUUGUUUGUUUGUUUGUAUGGCUGUGCCCAUGGCAUGCAAAAUUUCCGAGGUCAGGGAUAGAACCCCUUGCAGUGACCUGAGCCACAGCAGUGACAAUGCUGGAUCCUUAACUGCUAGGCCACCAGGGAACUCCUUUCUCAGUUAAUAAUUAUUUUUCAAGUCCUAUAAUAUACAUUAAUAAAUUUAACAAAUUGACAAAAUUCAAAUUCUUAUGGUAGACCCUUCUAAAUCUCUUCCUUAAUUAAGGCUCUUGAAUGCUCUUGCCACAGUGCAUUAAUUAACACUUAUGUUAAUAUGUCCACAUUCCAUCCUAAACUGUGAGUUCCUCAGAACAGGGAUUGUGUUUUAUUCACCUUUAUGUCUGCACAGAGUCUGUUAGAAGUCCUUUAGGUGAAACAUGGUAUGUUCAAACUAUUAUUCAGACAAGAAAAAAAGUUUUAUGACUAGAGAAUUCUGUCCCAAAUCAAUGUCUAGCCACGAAUUUAGUAAAAUUAAAAAAAAAAAAAAA
rnacentral:lncRNA from 1 species